rnacentral:rRNA from 1 species
UCCUACGGGAGGCAGCAGUGGGGAAUAUUGCACAAUGGGGGGAACCCUGAUGCAGCCAUGCCGCGUGUGUGAAGAAGGCCUUCGGGUUGUAAAGCACUUUCAGUUGUGAGGAAAAGUUAGUAGUUAAUACCUGCUAGCCGUGACGUUAACAACAGAAGAAGCACCGGCUAACUCCGUGCCAGCAGCCGCGGUAAUACGGAGGGUGCGAGCGUUAAUCGGAAUUACUGGGCGUAAAGCGCACGCAGGCGGUUUGUUAAGCUAGAUGUGAAAGCCCCGGGCUCAACCUGGGAUGGUCAUUUAGAACUGGCAGACUAGAGUCUUGGAGAGGGGAGUGGAAUUCCAGGUGUAGCGGUGAAAUGCGUAGAUAUCUGGAGGAACAUCAGUGGCGAAGGCGACUCCCUGGCCAAAGACUGACGCUCAUGUGCGAAAGUGUGGGUAGCGGACAGGAUUAGAUACCCUGGUAGUCCACACCGUAAACGCUGUCUACUAGCUGUGUGUGUCUUUAAGACGUGCGUAGCGAAGCUAACGCGCUAAGUAGACCGCCUGGGGAGUACGGCCGCAAGGUUAAAACUCAAAUGAAUUGACGGA